ensembl:snRNA U12 U12 minor spliceosomal RNA
GUGCCUUAAAUUUAUAAUCAAGGAAAUAACAAUUUCCUUAGGGGUGAUGCCCAAGUUCUCAUUGCUAAUGUGAGGUGAAUUUGAGUGGGUAAAGGUUACCACUAAGGGACCUGCCUACUUUAAAGGAUGCCUGGAUGUAAUGAUCUGCCUG